AUGGCGGAUGCCUUGGUAGUUUGGGCCGAAGAAGGACGCGUAUUUGAGCGCGAAAACAACGAUCAGUCCUCCAAUAGACAUUAUCAGUCGUUGGUUUCCGAAUAGGGCAACCUGUCCCGAUGUAAGUCGGGAUGACCCGGCAUUUAUGCCGGGUAGGGAACCCGGGGAACUGAAACAUCUAAGUACCCGGAGGAAAAGAAAUCAUAUGAGAUUCCGUUAGUAGCGGCGAGCGAAAGCGGAAGAGUCUAAAUCCGUCCGCAAGGACGAGAUGUUGUGGGUCCACAGUAGGAACUGUUUUUGAUAGAAGAACGUUCUGGAAAGUACGACCAGAGAAGGUGAAAGUCCUGUACUCUAAAUUGAAAACUGUUCCGGUGGAAUUCCCAAGUACCACGAGGCACGGCAAACCUUGUGGGAAACUGGGUCGGUCACGAUCCAAGACUAAAUACCCAAACUGACCGAUAGUGAACUAGUACUGCGAAGGAAAGGUUAAAAGUCCCCCGGUAAGGGGAGUGAAAUAGAACCUGAAACCAUUGGCUGUCAAACAGACAGAGUCCCGCCUUUGGCGGGAUAAUGUCGUGCCUAUUGAAGAAUGAGCCAGCGAGUAUCCGAUUCAACUGUGUGUUUAAUCCCGCUAAGCGGGAGGAGGCAAAGGGAAACCGAGUCCUAACAGGGCGUUUACAGUUAUCGGAUGGCCCGAAACCAGAUGAGCUAACCAUGAGCAGGGUGAACUUCGCCGAAAGGCGAGGGAAGGCCCGAACCCGUUGUCGGUGAAAUGGCAUGGGAGGACUUGUGGUUAGGGGUAAUAUGCCUAUCGAAUCUGGAGAUAGCUGGUUCUCCCCGAGAUAUAUUUAGGUAUAGCCUUCUCAACUAGUCUGUGGGGUAGAGCGACUGGAUAGUCCCGAGAGCCUUUGGCGAUCGGGAUUAACCAAACUCCUAAUACGCAGAUGUUAUUGAGAGGAGUCAGUCACACCGGGAUAAGCCGGCGGUGGCGAAAGGAAAACAUUCCAGACUCCCGUCUAAGGUUUCUAAAUAGCUCUUAAGUGGUAAAGGCCGUUUGUUUUCCAACACAGCAGGGAAGUUAGCUCAGAAGCAGCUACCUUUUAAAGAGUGCGUAACAGCUCACCUGAAUACCUCGCCUUUAAGGCGGGGUGGAAGACAGGCGCCAAAAAUGAUAGAAGCUAAAGAGCUUACCGAAGACGGAGCCCCGCCUAUGGCGGGGGGUAGGGGAGCUUUCUUAUCUGCAACGAAGCCUAAGCCGUAAGGCAUGGUGGAGCGAUAAGAAGUGAGAAUGCUGGCAUGAGUAGUGUUAUCUCCCGAUGAAAACUCGGGAUGCCGUAUACCCAAGGUUUCCUCAGCAACGUCAAUCGUCUGAGGGUUAGUCGGUACUAAGCGUUGCAUCUAUUUGGUGCAAGGCGAUGUCCAAGCCGUUAAUAUUCGGCUACCUUUGGUAAAGCGUUAUUAUUUAUUUGGUGACGAGGUUUGAUAAUCCCGCCCUCUACGGGGGGCCAAGUUAUAAAUCUUUAUGCAAGUAAAGGCGAGUAACAAAUGCAAUUCUGCCUUCGGGCGGAAAAGCGGGACGACUUAAGCCUCCGGGAAAAGCCGAAUAAAGAGUUUUAUCAAAGACCGUACCACAAACCGACACAGGUGGGUUGGUGGAGUACACCAAGGCAGACGAGUAAGGGUGGUUCAAGGAACUCGGCAAAAAAACUGAGCGUAAGCUAUGCAAUAUGCUCUGUCCCGCCUAGCGGGACUGCAACUAAAGUUUAUCAACCGACUGUUUAGCAAAAACUCAGGUCCCUGCUAACCCCAAAAGGGGAUGUAUAGGGGCUGAGGCCUGUCCGGUGCUGGUAAGUUAAUCAUUGGGAUUGACUCUAACUUCGGUUAGAAUAGGUUCCGAUGCAAGCUCCAGCGAACGACAGCUCUAACCCUGAGAGUUCUAAGGUAGCGUAGCCCCUUGCCGGGUAAGUUCCGGCCCGCAUGAAAGGUCUAACGAGUUGAUAACUGUCUUGAACCACUGCUCGACGAAAUUGAAAUGGCUGUGAAGAUGCGGCCUACUUACACCUGGACAAAAAGACCCCGGAAGCUUUACUGAAACUAGGUAUUGGUAAAAGGGAGUUAACUGUUGAGCGUAGGAGGGAGCCCCCGGGCGCCAAUGAAACACCUCUCUUUGAUUCUUUUUUGCCUUAUCCGUCGUCUUAGACGGAAACAGUGCUUGGCGGUCAGUUUAACUGGGGCGGUUUUCUCCAAAAGAGUAACGGAGAAGCGCAAAGGUCAGCUUAUUCCGGAUGGAAAUCGGAAUAUAAGUGCAAACGCAUAAGCUGGCUUAACUGUGAGAGCUACAAUUCAAGCAGAUGCGAAAGCAGGCGUUAGUGAUCCCCCGUCACGCGGUGAUCGCGGGCGGGGCUUAACGGAUAAAAGCUACUCCGGGGAUAACAGGCUGGUCGCGCCCGAGAGUUCAUAUCGACGGCGCGGUUCGGCACCUCGAUGUCGGCUCAUCGCAUCCUGGGGCUGAAGUCGGUCCCAAGGGUCGGGCUGUUCGCCCGUUAAAGCGGUACGCGAGCUGGGUUCAGAACGUCGUGAGACAGUUCGGACUCUAUCCGGUGUAAGCGUUUGGAUUUUUGAGAGGGGUCUUCCACAGUACGAGAGGACCUGGAAGAGAAAAUCCCUGGUGUACCGGUUGUCAAAAGCAUUGCCGGGUAGCUAUAUUUUCAUUCGAUAAGCACUGAAUGCAUCUCAAGUGCGAAGCGAACCUCGAGAUUAAAAAUCCUUAUUAACUUGUCGGUAGAUCACCGACCAUAUAGGCGUCAAGUGUAAGC
rnacentral:rRNA from 1 species